CAAACCUCAAGCGUCUGCUUGCUGUUGGGGCAUUGCCGAUUCUCUCUGUAGGGAGAAGGCAAGCCCUGAAUUAUAGUGGCGGAGCUGCUGUAGACUCUGAGCGUAGUACUACUAUUCGCUUUUGGAAUCUAGGCGGUUACCUGCCAUAAAACCCACUAUAUUUUUCUU
rnacentral:misc_RNA from 1 species